UUUUAAAAGGGCAAAUUCAUCAUUACAAAUCAAAAUCUAAAGCAAUUUUUACAACUUCACUUUCCAGCUCUUUGCUUUCGCUUCCCCACCCACAUCCAUGGCUUCCUCUCUACACCCGAAACCCAACCCACUUCCUCGCACCUGAAACCCAACCCACCCGCACCACAACCCGCGUUUCCAUACGGUGCGGACCAUGCGACAACCAUAGACCUUUGGUCAAAGUAAUGGGCGCAAAGGUCCAACGUAGCCUAAUUCCCUGCCCUUGUCUCCAAAGCCCUCUCCCGCCUGAUCAAAGCCAACCUCGUCACCGCUCUCCGGGAGCUUCUAUGGCAAGAUCAAUGCCACAUGGGCCUCCAAGUCUUCUCCGUCGUCCGACUUAUCUAUUUAUACCAAGAUGACACUGACGCUGGCGAGAAAUGAGAUGGAGAAGGACAUGGACCGUUUGAUUUGUGAUCUAGAGACAGAGAGCGGGUCCUGUGGGACAGCGAUAAGGGGUUGAUAAGGUUGAUCAGGGCCGUUAUUAGCGCGGAUAAGAGGGAAUCAACAGUUAGAAUUACGAGAUGCUGAAGAGGAAUGGGUGGGGGUCUAUGAAGAGAAAGUUAUCAAUGUAAAUAGUAAUGACCGGUUGUCAAAAGUUAAUUAGGAAAGUCACCUUUGUAAUUUACCCUUUUUGUUUUGGUUUGUUAUUUUUUAGCUUUCCUAUAAAUAAUCUUUGUAACUUAAUUAAGAAAUGAAUGAAAACAUUUCUCAAUAUGGUAUCACGAGGCCUUCUGUCUUCUGACUUCUGAUCCUUUAGGAAAUUUUUCUUGCAUUUUCUUACUUACCAAAUGUAUUGUUUUCGUUCUCUUUCGUGUUCAUCCAUGGCGGCCAAUUCCUCUCACUCUUCUUCUUCAAUGAUUGAACCUCUUCAUCAUUCUCCAAUGCAUACUGAGUGCCCUACGACUGCCAAUCUGAACUUUUCUCUGAUGAACACCAACCCUAAUUCUUCCAUCCAAGCAUCGAUCAACACGAUCACAAUCAACAAUAUUGGCAACAUGAUUUAAACCAAGCUAAAGCACCACAAUUAUCUUGUGUGGCGAUCUCUCUUUGAAUCGAUCUUUCGUUGCUACAAACUCACCAACAUCGUUGAUGGAUUUGAGCCUCCACCGCCUCGAUUUCUUGCUGAUAAUUCUGGAAAUCUCACUUCGAUUCUGAAUCCAGAGUUUGAGAUUUGGUACGAAAAUGAUCAAAACAUCAUUAUAUGGAUCAAUUUCGCUCUCUCUGAAGAUUUGAUUCCAUUCAUAGUUAGUAUUCAAUCUGCACGUGACCUCUGGCUUAAUCUUGAAAAACACUUUGGAGGUGUCUCUCGCUCUCACAUUCAUCAACUACGCAAGAACUUACAAUUUGUUACCAAAGGUUCCUCCUCAAUUUCUGAGUAUUUGCAGCGCAUCAAGGAGAUUACUAAUGCUCUUGCUGCGGCUGGUGCUCAUGUUGAUGAUCAUGAUUUGCUUCUUAUUAUUCUCAAUGGCCUACUUGACGAAUAUGAUUCUUUUGUGGACUCGGCUCAGUUUCAAUUGGUUGAUACUUCGAUUGAUGACCUUUAUGGCUUUUUGCUUAGUAAAGAAAUGGCUCUUGCUCACAAGAAACAGGCUCAAUGAUCUUUCACUGCUAAAUCUUAUCAAGCUCUUAACUCUAUUCAAGCAGCUUCAACUCUCCCUCCCUUGCUUCCUACACCUCAGGUAUACACUGCUCAGCACACUAAUCCUUCUAACUUCCCCAAAGGAAAUUCUCAGUGCCAUAACAAUUCUUACAAUCAUGGAGGCAAUCGUUAUCGAUCCAACCGCUACAACAAUAAUUCUUACAAUCGAGGAGGAAAUCGUGGUGGUUUUCGUUAUUUUACAAAUACUUUCAAAGCCAAUCCUUGCCCAAUCUGUGAAGAUCCAGGUCAUCUUGCUAUUGACUGCUCAAAUCAGAUGAAUCCUAAUUUUCAGGGCCAAGUUCCACCAGCUAAACUUGCAAUGUAUGCAAACACUAACACUUCUUCUCCUUCUCCAUGGCUGCUUGACUCUGGCGCAACUCUCACAUGACCAAUAAUCUCAACAAUAUCCAGAAUCCACAGCCAUACAAGGGUCCUGACAACGUGUAUAUUGGAGAUGGCCAAGGUUUGCCAAUUCUCCACUCUGGUUCUACUUCACUUCAUACACUUACAUCAACUUUUCAUUCAAACAAUGUGUUGCAUGUUCCAUAAUUAACGCAUGAUUUACUUUCUGCAAAUAUGUUCCUUCGGGACAAUUGGUGUUCAUUGACUCUAAAUCCUUUUGACUUUAAUGUCAAGGAUCUUACUACGAGGAUGAUGCUUUUUAAAGCUCCUGUUUGACAUGGUCUCUAUCCUUUCUAUGCAUCUUCUCACUCUUCCGCACUAUAUCAUGCUCAUACUGCAAUCAAAGCUUCUCCUACUACUUGGCAUCAAUGUUUAGGGCAUCCCAUGUUUAAGACUUUGCAAUAUGUGCUCUCAAAGUCUGCCUUGCCUAUUUCUAGUUCCCUUCAACAGUUUUUUUGUUCAAAUUGUGUUUUAGGAAAAUGUGCCAAGUUACCAUUUCAGCAUUCUAUUUGUAAUACAUCUACACCCUUAGAGUUGGUUCAUGCAAAUGUUUGGGGACCAGGUCCAUUGCUUUCUGUAAGUGGCUGUCGGUUUUAUGUCAUCUUUGUUGAUGACUUUACCAAAUAUACUUUGUUGCAUCCACUUAAGUACAAAUCAGAUGUAUUUUAGACUUUCAUUGAAUUUCAAGCACUUGUUGAAAACUUGUCUGACUAUAAAAUUGGAACCUUGAGAUCUGAUUCAGGGGGUGAGUUUCUCAGUUCUGAAUUCAAGCACCAUCUUUCUGUUCAUGGCAUUCAACAUCAAUUAAGCUGUACACAUACACCCCAGCAGAAUGGUUAUGCAGAAAGAAAGCACAGGCAUAUUGUCGAAACUGUCAUGACUCUUCUCAUUGCUUCUAAGGUUCCACAUUAUUUAUGGGUAGAAACUUUUCUCAUUGCAGUUUACUUGAUCAUAAACUACCUCCAGUGUCUAAACCUUCACCAUGGGAAUAAUUCUUUAAAAAAUGUCUAGAUUACUCUCAACUUAGAAUUUUUUGUUGUAGCUGUUUUCCUUGGCUUAAAGCUUAUACUAAGUCAAAACUAGAUCUUAAAAGUAAGCCAUGUGUCUUCAUUGGUUAUAGCCUCUCUCAUAAGGGUUAUAGAUGCUUGGAUCCUUCUACAAAUCGAGUUUAUGUAUCUCGAGAUGUCCAUUUUGAUGAAGCCACAUUACCUUUUCACAAUUCCAACCUUCUUCAACAACAAACCACAUGUUCCUCGUCACCUCAUUCUUUCCCAUUUUCUCUCACCUUUUCCAAACUCUACUCUCCCUCUCAGCAUCUUCCCAUUUCACAAUAUGCCUCACUUUCUCAACCUCAUACAUUUGCUCCAAGUUCUCCAUCCCCUCCAAAUUUAAACCCUACACCCACUCCUACUUGAUUCACCCAUUCCAAACCUUACACCAAGUUCUCCUACCAUACCUGAAUUUGCAGCUACCAUUGCACCAGCCUCAUUAUCCGCAGUCUCCAUUCACCCUAUGCAAACUCGAUCCAAAUCAGGAAUCUUUAAACCCAAAGCCUUUACAGCAACUAAACAUCCACUCUCUCAUCUCCUUGACACAGAAUUUGUCUCAUCUACAUAUCUCCAAGCCUCCAUGUAUUCACAUUGGAGAGCUGUAAUGCAGGAUGAAUUUAAUGCCUUCCAAAACACUGGAACCUAGAAACUUGUACCCUCUAAUUCUACCUACAAUAUUGUUGGCUGUAAGUUAUGGAUCUGUGGAUAGGUACAAAGCUCGCCUUGUUGCAAAUGGGUACAAUCAGCAAGAGGGAAUUGACUACAGUGACACAUUUAGCCCAGUGGUUAAACCAGUAACUAUUAAAAUUCUUCUCACUCUUUCAGUUCAAUCAAAAUAGUUUAUGCAUCAAUUGGAUGUAAGCAAUGUAUUCUUGCAUGGCUUCCUGAAGGAAAAUGUCUACAUGUCUUAACCUCCCGACUUCAUUGAUCAAGAUCAUCCCAAUCAUGUUUGUCAUUUGCAAAAGUCUCUUUAUGGCUUAAAGCAAGCCCCUCAAGCAUGGUUUGAAAAGCUUCAAUCUGCAUUACUAUCUAUGGGUUUUCAAGCUUCUCAAUCUGAUCACAACUUGUUUGUUCUUAAACAACCUAUCUUGGUCCUAGUCUUAGUCUAUGUAGAUGAUAUAAUAGUCAUAGGACCCUCAUCUACUACCUGUGCUAAUGUGAUUACUCAACUUAGUGCUCAAUUUCCAGUUAAGGACUUAGGGGAUUUGCACUACAUUCUUGGCUUGGAAGUUACUUGAUCUGCUUCUGGAAUUUUUCUUCAUCAGUCCAAAUAUAUUUUGGAUCUUCUCAAAUGAACUAAAAUGGAUGGAGCAAAACCUUGCAUUACACCUCUUGGUUUUGCAAAAUUGGAUCUCAUAGGUUCUCCAUUAACCAACCCUGAAGAAUAUCGAUCAAUAGUUGGGGCACUUUAGUAUCUCACUUGGACUCACCUUGAUCUUUCCUUUGCAGUCAACUUAGUGUGCUAGUUUACGCAAUUUCCUAAAGAACCACAUUUUCAGGUCGUUAAACGUAUCCUUCGAUACCUUAAAGGCACUCUUGGACAUGGUUUAUGGUUUCCCAAAACUGCUUCACCUCUCACACUUAAAGCAUUCUCGGAUGUUGUUUGGGCAGGCUGUUAUUGGGAUCGACGCUCUACUGGUGGUUUCUGCAUAUUCCUUGGUUCCUCCAUCAUUAGUUGGAGUGCCAAGAAGCAACACACUGUUGCUCGUUCAUCCACAGAGGUUGAGUAUAGGUCCUUUGCUCACAUUGCUGCAGAAUUGACAUGGAUAUGCAAACUAUUUGCGAAUAUUGGAUUUCAGUUGCCUUCUCUACCUCAGAUUUGGUGUGAUAACAUUUCAGCCAUUGCAUUUGCUUCCAAUCUCGUGUUCCAUGCUCGUACCAAGCAUGUUGAGAUCAACUAUCACUACAUCCGAGGGCUAGUCCUUGCCAAACUUCUCACAGUUCAUUUUGUGUGCAGCCAAGAUCAAAUUGCUGAUAUUCACACAAAAUCUCUUCCUAGACAGCGAUUUCUUCAUCUUCGUACCAAGCUUUCACUUCAACCUUCUCCGUUUAGCUUGAGGGGGUGUGAAGAGAAAGUUAUCAAAGUAAAUAGUAAUGACCAGCUGUUAAAAGUUAAUUAGGAAAGUCACCUUUGUAAUUUACCCUUUUUGUUUUGGUUUGUUAUUUUUUAGCUUUCCUAUAAAUACUCUUUGUAACUUAAUCAUUAAGAAAUGAAUGAAAACAUUUCUCAAUAGUCUAGUGGGUUUAAAGCGGAUUAGAUGGUUAGGGUUUUGAGUAAGGGACUGAGGAGACUUGGUUGAUUUGAAAUUUGGGAGCCUUUUGAAGGGUAGUUUCGGGAAUUUAAGUGUAUAAAACUAGUGAAGGAAAUUGUGAGGGAGUGGAGUUUUUAUUUACACCCUCCAAAAUGUUUACUUAUCCACAUUCUAAUGAUAACUUUUGGGUCACACUUAAAAUUUCAGCUUGGGCUAUUCUAAUUUCAACCGUCUUUUUUAAAUUUAUUUAUUAGUACAACGAUAUAUUUUACACUAAGGGUAAGGAAGAGCUCAGCUAAGCCACAUAAUAGGCAAUCUAAUUUGGUGUCAAAUUCGUCAUCUAUGAGAUUCGAACUUAAGACAUCUUCUUUACAAGUGAUAAGAAAUGCCACCGAACCAUAGAACUGAGUGGCCAAUUGUCCUAUAUGUUUUUUUGGUAAGUUGUAUUUCCAGUGCUGUUUUUGGCACUCCAUAUAAGCUCUGAAAAUAACAUGCGAGUCAAAACGGUCUAAGUGAUGUAUAUAUAUCACAUAAUUGAUAACACGAAGCACAAAAUAAUUAACGAACAAUUUGAAAGCAGCAUGCGGGUCGAUUCGCUCUAAAAAGAACGAUAUUUCCAAACUCACUUGACACGUGACAAAACAAUUUAUGAAUAUCUUGAAAGCAAAUACGCGGCAAAUUAGGCUA
rnacentral:lncRNA from 1 species